UGCUAAAUGCUUCUUCCAACAAUUUGGAAAAGAAAAGAAACCCAAUAUUAUUAUAUACUACUUUCCAAAUGUAGUAGGGUAAGUAUCUGGACUUUUCAGUAUGUCUUAUUGAACUCUUUUGUUUCAGCAUCAUAUUACUUUAAUGAUAUGUGUGUUCACAUACACUUAUAUGUAUAUGAAUUUGUGUUGGGCUCAAACUUAGGACUUUAUGCAUACCAUACUAGUGGUCUACCAUUGAGCCCUGUCUUAAUUUUUAUAUAUAACUUCCUAAUUGCUUCAACUGUGCUUCUACUCUAUAUCCAUAUGCAAAUUCUCUGUCAUCAGCAAAAAACACUGCAGAACUCCAGAUAGUUAAAAAGACUUUGUAUUUUUAUUUAGGGUCAGCAGUGGAGAACAUAAUAUUAUUAGGCUUUUUGGAACCAGGAAGGGAAAAAUGAGAA
rnacentral:lncRNA from 1 species